rfam:Schistosoma curassoni strain Dakar, Senegal genome assembly, scaffold: SCTD_scaffold0008900
AUCCAGCUGACAAGUUUCAAAUAGGACGAAACGUGCAUCCUGCAU